rnacentral:rRNA from 1 species
CCUACGGGUGGCAGCAGUGAGGAAUAUUGGUCAAUGGGGGGAACCCUGAUCCAGCGACGCCGCGUGAGUGAAGAAGUAUUUCGGUAUGUAAAGCUCUAUCGGCAGGGAAGAAAGAAAUGACGGUACCUGACUAAGAAGCCCCGGCUAACUACGGCCCAGCAGCCGCGGUAAUACGUAGGGGGCAAGCGUUAGCCGGAUUUACUGGGUGUAAAGGGAGCGUAGACGGCGAGGCAAGUCUGAAGUGAAAGGCGGGGGCCCAACCCCCGGACUGCUUUGGAAACGGUCUGGCUGGAGUGCAGGAGCGGUCAGUGGACUUCCUAGUGUAGCGGUGACAUGCGUAGAUAUUAGGAG